UGCCCAGCAACUCCUAUCCCUACCUCCACGCGGUACCGGCCGGAAACUAUGAGCAACCUUAGGGAAGUAGG
rnacentral:ribozyme from 1 species